AGCUCAUUCCAACUAGCGCUGUAAAAUCAGUUCUUCUGUAUGAGAGUGCUGGGGAGAAAUCUGUGUUUGGAAGGAAGAGGGAAAACUUAAUUAAAACAUACAGGAGUGUAAUGUCUAAAAUGAAUUUUGUAAACAAUGACACUUAAUUUUAUAUCUGUUUCAAAACUAAGUGAAAUUGCACUGGGAAGUACACGUAGAAAAGAAAAAGGGCUGCUUAAUUUAAAGAACAAGACUUUCUGGUCUUGCUAGAACUAACUGGUCAUAAAUAUGGUCAGGAUGGAAACAAGGGGGAGAUUUCUAAUCAUCAGCACACUAAAAUUCUGGAACUACCUUCAAACUCUCUUCAAAGAGAAGGAGCAGCCAAAGAGUUGCUUGCAGUUAUCAACAUUCUUUAUGGAUAGGUGAAAUGAAUUCAGAUGUGGUCCUUUCAGCUCAAAGCACACUAUUACAGAGUUCCCUGAAGGUAAAAAGAGCAGGAGUAUAAUACAUGAACCGUAGAGGAACAAGAGAUUCCACAUAGAAACGUGCAUCUGGGAGCAAGGAUAUCGAAAAGUAGACAGAAGAGUGAUGAGAAAGACAAAUAGAAUACUGCUCUUCCUGAAUUUAUGUUGAACUUUGUAAAGGUUGAAUGUCUCUUUGUUUAUCUGACAAACUUCUUUAGAGGCUGCACUCAAAGAAAAUGCUUUAAAAUGGAGGCCUAUCUACUCUUCUCAAAGCACUUCCUGAUCCUCACAUCUCACUCCAUCAGCUGGCAGAGCGACUAGGCUGUUUCACACAGAUCAUACUCUUCUAUUAGUGGCUUUCAACAGGCAAACAACCAUAGGCAAUUCUCUUUCUCUAAAGAAAAGGUGAGGCCUGAGGAAGAGAUGUCAGGAUUAUUCUCACUAGUAACCUUGUAACACAGUUUCAGACAUCGAAUUCAUAGAUCGAAUCUAUGGAGCUCAGGAAGAAACUGCAAGCUUUAUAUUCAGUAGAGAGAAACACCUUUUUAGGUACUCACUUCAUGAAGAUAUUAAUAAUAUUAAUAAUAUCUGCAUUUUGGAAGCACAGAUUUCUCUCCAUUGUAGACAGAUGAGCUCCCAUGGAAUGAAAGGUCAAGGCUACUGAGGAGGACAAAGACAGAAGGUCUCCAGCUUUGAAACUUGCUACUCAACUGAAUUAUGAGCUACGCUUCAUGAACCCAGGCUUGAGAGGCACAGAUAGCCAGGUAUUAGGAAUCCAGGAGUGAUCGUUUUAAUCAAAACACAAU